UACAGAGGUGGCGAGCGUUGUUCGGAUUUACUGGGCGUAAAGGGUGCGUAGGUGGUUCUGUGUGUCGGUUGUGAAAUCCCACUGCUCAAUGGUGGAACUGCAAUCGAAACUGCGGAACUUGAGUGCAUGAGGGGAGAGCGGAAUUCUUGGUGUAGCGGUGAAAUGCGUUGAUAUCAAGAAGAACACCGGUGGCGAAGGCGGCUCUCUGGAAUGUUACUGACGCUGAGGCACGAAAGCUGGGGGAGCAAACAGG
rnacentral:rRNA from 1 species